AGAGUUUGAUCAUGGCUCAGGAUGAACGCUGGCGGUCUGCUUAACACAUGCAAGUCGAACGGAAUCUUUCGGGAUUUAGUGGCGGACGGGUGAGUAACGCGUGAGAAUCUGCCUUCAGGUUCGGGACAACAGUUGGAAACGGCUGCUAAUACCGGAUGUGCCGAGAGGUGAAAGCUUAAGUGCCUGGAGAUGAGCUCGCGUCUGAUUAGCUAGUAGGAGUGGUAACGGCACCCCUAGGCGACGAUCAGUAGCUGGUCUGAGAGGACGAUCAGCCACACUGGGACUGAGACACGGCCCAGACUCCUACGGGAGGCAGCAGUGGGGAAUUUUCCGCAAUGGGCGAAAGCCUGACGGAGCAAGACCGCGUGGGGGAAGAAGGCUCUUGGGUCGUAAACUCCUUUUCUCUGGGAAGAACAAAAUGACGGUACCAGUUGAUCAGCUCGAUU
rnacentral:rRNA from 1 species